rnacentral:rRNA from 1 species
CCCUUAGAUGUUCUGGGCCGCACGCGCGCUACACUGAUGCAUUCAACGAGCCUAUCCUUGACCGACAGGUCCGGGUAAUCUUUGAAUCUGCAUCGUGACGGGGAUAGAUUAUUGCAAUUAUUAAUCUUCAACGAGGAAUGCCUAGUAGGCGCAAGUCAUCAGCUUGCGUCGAUUACGUCCCUGCCCUUUGUACACACCGCCCGUCGCUCCUACCGAUUGGGUGGGCUGGUGAAAUGUUCGGAUCGGCCGUUUGUCGCGGUUUCCGCGUCAUGUGGCUGAGAAGUUCAUUAAACCCUCCCACCGAGAGGAAGGAGAAGUCGUAACA